GCUCUUGUGGCGCAAUUGGCUAGCGCGUUCGGCUGUUAGGGAGAUGACGCUCCAAAGCAACCGGAAGGUUGGUGGUUCAAGCCCACCCAGGAGCG